CCCGCUGAACUUAAGCAUAUCAAUAAGCGGAGGAAAAGAAACCAACAGGGAUUGCCCUAGUAACGGCGAGUGAAGCGGCAACAGCUCAAAUUUGAAAUCUGGCGCAAGCCCGAGUUGUAAUUUGUAGAGGAUGUUUCUGGCGACGCGCCUUCCGAGUUCCCUGGAACGGGACGCCAUAGAGGGUGAGAGCCCCGUACGGUUGGAUGCCUAGCCUCUGUGAAACUCCUUCGACGAGUCGAGUAGUUUGGGAAUGCUGCUCUAAAUGGGAGGUAUACGUCUUCUAAAGCUAAAUACCGGCCAGAGACCGAUAGCGCACAAGUAGAGUGAUCGAAAGAUGAAAAGCACUUUGAAAAGAGGGUUAAAAAGUACGUGAAAUUGUUGAAAGGGAAGCGUUCAUGACCAGACUUGGGCAGGUUGAUCAUCCGUGGUUCUCCGCGGUGCACUCUGCCUGCCCAGGCCAGCAUCAGUUCGCCCCGGGGGAUAAAGGCUUUGGGAAUGUGGCUCCCUCGGGAGUGUUAUAGCCCACUGCGUAAUACCCUGGGGUGGACUGAGGUUCGCGCUCUGCAAGGAUGCUGGCGUAAUGGUCAUCAACGACCCGUCUUGAAACACGG
rnacentral:rRNA from 1 species